UAAUGUCUUAGUGUCAAUGAUUAGAUUGAGAAUGGUAAUGAGUCAUUACCAUUCUCAAUCUAAUCAAUGACAUUAAGAUGUUUC
rnacentral:pre_miRNA from 1 species